rnacentral:rRNA from 1 species
GACGAACGCUGGCGGCGUGCUUAACACAUGCAAGUCGAGCGGUAAGGCCCUUUCGGGGGUACACGAGCGGCGAACGGGUGAGUAACACGUGGGUGACCUGCCCUCAGCUCUGGGAUAAGCCUGGGAAACCGGGUCUAAUACUGGAUAUGACUCCAUGACGCAUGUUGUGGGGUGGAAAGCCUUGUGCGGCUGAGGAUGGGGCCCCGC